rnacentral:rRNA from 1 species
GUAGGUGGCAAGCGUUGUCCGGAAUUAUUGGGGCGUAAAGCGCGCGCAGGUGGUUCCUUAAGUCUGAUGUGAAAGCCCCCCGGGCUCAACCGGGGGAGGGUCAUUGGAAACUGGGGAACUUGAGUGCAGGAGAGGAAAGUGGAAUUCCACGUGUAGCGGUGAAAUGCGUAGAUAUGUGGAGGAACACCAGUGGCGAAGGCGACUUUCUGGCCUGUAACUGACACUGAGGCGCGAAAGCGUGGGGAGCAAACAGGAUUAGAUACCCUGGUAGUCCACGCCGUAAACGAUGAGUGCUAAGUGUUGGGGGGUUUCCGCCCCUCAGUGCUGCAGCUAGCGCAUUAAGCACUCCGCCUGGGGAGUACGGUCGCAAAGACUG